rnacentral:rRNA from 1 species
CGUGUAGGCGGGAAAGCAAGUCAGAUGUGAAAACUGUGGGCUCAACCCACAGCCUGCAUUUGAAACUGUUUUUCUUGAGUACUGGAGAGGCAGAUGGAAUUCCUAGUGUAGCGGUGAAAUGCGUAGAUAUUAGGAGGAACACCAGUGGCGAAGGCGAUCUGCUGGACAGCAACUGACGCUGAGGCGCGAAAGCGUGGGGAGCAAACA